rnacentral:rRNA from 1 species
AUUGAACGCUGGCGGCAGGCCUAACACAUGCAAGUCGAACGAGUGGCGGACGGGUGAGUAAGGUCUGGGAAACUGCCCGAUGGAGGGGGAUAACUACUGGAAACGGUUACUAAUACCGCAUCCCAUCGGCUGUGCCCGGAUGGGAUUAGCUAGUGGGUGGGGUAACGGCUCACCUAGGCGACGAUCCCUAGCUGGUCUGAGAGGAUGACCAGCCACACUGGGACUGAGACACGGUCCAGACUCCUACGGGAGGCAGCAGUGGGGAAUAUUGCACAAUGGGCGCAAGCCUGAUGCAGCCAUGCCGCGUGUAUGAAGAAGGCCUUCGGGUUGUAAAGUACUUUCAGUCGGGAGGCGUUACCGGCAGAAGAAGCACCGGCUAACUCCGUGCCAGCCGCCGCGGUAAUAC